rnacentral:rRNA from 1 species
GUCCUCUUGAUUAUAAUUUGAGGUCUGACCUGCCCACUGAAGGAUUUUGAAUGGCCGCAGUAAUUUGACUGUGCAAAGGUAGCAUAAUCAUUAGUUUUUUAAUUAAAAGCUUGUAUGAAGGGUUGGACGAAAUAAAAUCUGUCUCUAUUUAAUUAAUAUUAGAAUUUAAUUUUUAAGUUAAAAAGCUUAAAUAAAUUUAAAAGACGAGAAGACCCUAUAGAUCUUUAUAUUAAAUUUAUUAAUUUUAAUAAAGAAUAAUUUAUUUUUUAAUAUAUUUAAUAUUUUAUUGGGGUAAUAAAAAGAUUAAUAAAAUUCUUUUUUUUAUUAUACAUAAAUGAAUGGUUAUAUGAUCCAAUAUUAUUGAUUAAAAGAUUAAGUUACCUUAGGGAUAACAGCGUAAUUUUUUUAGAGAGUUCAUAUCGAUAAAAAAGUUUGCGACCUCGAUGUUGGAUUAAAAAUUAUCUUAGGUGCAGAAGUUUAAGAUUUUGGUCUGUUCGACCAUUGAAUUUUUACA